UUACGAGCGUCAAUUUGGAGCUUGUAGGUGGAAGAGGACUCAAAGUCGAGAGGCUGUUAGGAGACCAGUGGCGACGUUAGAAAAAAACAGGGAUAAUGGAGGAAAAUAAGACAGGAGGUCAUGGCAGCGCCCUCCGAAGUGAGCGUAACACCUGAAUUCGUCCAUCGGCGGCGUCAAUGGAGAAGGGGUUGAGUGUCUCGUCUGGACCCUGGGACACGAUGGAGUAUGUAAGAUGAGCAUUCAGUGUCCCGUGUUCAUCCGCGUCAUUGGCCAACAGCUGUCCUAUCAGGCUGCCUGGAAACACCAGAACCAGAAUGUGCGUUGUCAUUCACAUCCUCCACCAAGACUUGAAUCUCCAUGGGUGGAUCUACCUCCCUCCCAGUGUUAUCUGUUGCUAUCACCACCAGGAUGUACUGAAACAGAAUCAACGCCAGUUCAAGAGUGAUCCUUAGAA